ACAUAUAUAUGAUCAUUUAGUUUGCAGCAUAAUUCAAGUUAGUGACGAAGGUGAAGUUUGAGUUCAUUUGUUGGAAGCUAGAGAAGAUGUUGGAGCAAACGGUGUGACGAUCAAGUUUUUCUAUGACUUAAUCUGACCAAGUUGUUACGAAUUUGUGUCAAACCCGUCUCUCUAGGUUAUUUCCAUCUUGUUAGAAACAUUCAUUUUGAUCGUGUUUUUUGUAAUUAAACGAUCUCUACAUUAUAAAAUCCUUCGAGAUCGCUUAAGGCAGCCAGCAUAAUUAAUAAAGCAAAUGCCUCCCCAAGCUCCGCCGCCCACCACCGUACCCAGAAGGUUCAACUUUAUCUAUGGCCACCGGAAACCCACUCAGAAUCGCCCCAUUGUCCGCGGUGGCAUUUUCUCCAAUCGCCAAAUCCUCUUCCCCAAUCAAAAUCAUGAACAAGCCACCACCAAUUUUGAACUCGAAAAAUGGAACCCACAACAAUCCGUCACCGCCCCACCACCACCACUUUCCCCAUCGCAACAUUUCUUCUCCGUUGCCCAAACGCUAUCUCCCAUCGCCCGUUACAUCGUCGACUCCUUCCGGAAACACAAGCACUGGGGUCCGCCGGUCGUCGCCGACCUCAACAAACUCCGCCGUGUCACCCCGAAGCUCGUUGCGGAAGUAUUAAAAGUACAAUCAGAUCCAAAUAUCUCCUCCAAAUUCUUCCAUUGGGCUGGUAAGCAGAAAGGGUAUAAACAUGAUUUUGCUAGUUACAAUGCCUUUUCUUAUUGCUUGAAUAGAAACAAUCAGUUCCGGGCAGCCGAUCAGGUGCCGGAGCUGAUGAACAUGCAAGGUAAGCCACCAACUGAGAAACAAUUUGAAAUCUUGAUUAGGAUGCAUUCUGAUGCUAAUAGGGGUCUUAGGGUUUACUAUGCGUAUGAGAAAAUGAAGAAAUUUGGGGUGAAACCUCGAGUUUUCUUGUAUAAUAGGAUCAUGGAUGCUCUUGUGAAAACGGAUCACUUGGAUUUAUCUAUGUCUGUUUACAAUGAUUUCAAGAAUGAUAAAUUGGUGGAGGAAGGAAUCACUUUCAUGAUUUUGGUAAAAGGAUUAUGUAAGGCUGGUAGAAUUGAAGAAGCCCUCGAACUUCUUGGCCGGAUGAGGAAAUUGUGUAAACCAGAUGUGUUUGCUUAUACUGCAAUGAUCAAAAUAUUAGUUUCAGAGGGAAAUUUAGAUGGGUGUUUGAGGGUUUGGCAAGAAAUGGAGAGCGACAAAGUCCAACCCGAUGUUUUGGCUUACGCAACUCUUGUCAUGGGAUUAUGCAAAGGAAAUCGAGUGGAAAAGGGUUAUGAGUUAUUCAAGGAGAUGAAAGAAAAAUGUUAUUUGAUAGAUAGGGCUAUCUAUGGAUCGUUGAUUGAAGGCUUUGUAAACGAUCGAAAAGUUGGAGUGGCAUGUGAUUUGUUGAAGGAUUUGAUCGAGUCGGGAUACAGAGCGGAUUUAGUGAUAUAUAAUCAUCUGAUAAAAGGGUUAUGCAACAUGAAACAUGUUACAAAGGCACAUAAACUUUUCCAGGUUACAGUUGAAGAAGAUCUCAGGCCCGACUUUGAGACUGUGAAUCCGAUGUUGUUUUCUUAUGCAGAGUUGAGAAAAUUUGAUGAAUUUUGCAAACUGCUUGUACAGAUUCAGGGUUUAGGGUUUAGGGUCAUGAAUGAUCUUGUGAAAUUCUUCUCUCUAAUGGUAGGGCAAGAGAGAGAUGGAGCCGUAAUAGCUUUAGAAGUGUUUAAUAACCUGAAGCCGAAAGGUUAUUGCACUGUUCCGAUAUACAAUAUUCUUAUUGGGGCACUCCACAAGAUCGGAGAGGUUAAAAAGGCAUUAAUGUUCUUCCACGAAUUGAAGGAAUCGAAGAUGGAACCCAAUUCUUGUACCUAUAGCAAUGCAAUUUUGUGCUUUGUUGAAACCGGAGAGAUUCAUGAAGCAUGUUCUUGCUACAAUGAAAUAAAAGAGAUGUCUUCAAUUCCGUCUAUUGAUGCUUAUGUGUCAUUGGUUAAAGGUCUCUGUAAAAUUGGAGAAAUUGAUGAUGCUUUCAUGGUUGUUCGUGACUGUUUAGCGAAUGUCACUAGUGGGCCCAGGGAGUUUAAGUAUACUCUUAGAAUUAUUCAUAUUUGUAGAUCGAAUGAUGCCAAUAAAGUGAUGGGUGUUAUCAAUGAGAUGGUGGAAGAUGGUUGUUCACCUGAUGAUGUUAUAUUUUGUGCGGUUAUCGCUGGCAUGUGCCGUUAUGGAACUAUUGAGGAGGGUAGAAAAGUUUUUUCAAGUAUGAGAGAGUGCAAGAUGCUAACGGAAUCGGACUUGGUUGUUUAUGACGAUUUGCUAAUUGACCAUAUGAAGAAGAAAACAGCCGACUUGGUGCUGUCUGGCUUGAAGUUUUUCAGGCUCGAGUCAAAGUUGAAAGCAAAGGGCUCUAAUCUCUUGCCAAGCUAGAAAUGUGAGAUUAGAGAAUAUAAAUUUCGGGAGAGAUUUUGGUUGCGGGAGAUUGUGCAAGUUAUCCUUGGUGCUCUAUAAGUUCAUCGACUCGCAAGAAGUGCAACACUUUCCAGUUUUCAUUCUUGGGAUGGUUUUUACGUCAAUAACACUUUCUAUGGAACAUCUUAAUGAGUAAUGACUUCUUAAAGGCCGACGAGAACGUCAUUUUUAUCGAGAGAUCUUUGGUCCGUCCACCAGGUACUUUUCUUCCUUGCUCUUGGUAUAACAUGUCAAUGUCAGAAGGUUAUGCAUUUAAAAAAAAUUGUUAAGACAAUCAUGCAUAUAAAAAAAAUCUCUCAGAAGGUUAUUAUGAUAAAUAACCUUGCUUUUAGAGCUUGGACUUCUACCAAGAUCCAAUAAUCAUUUGGAAAAGAUCGAAUUAACAUAACCAUUGAUCUUUAAUUCUUAUGCAUUUCUUAAGAUUUUCGUCUAAAACAUAUUUGGCCCACAAGUCGUGAGCCUUAGACCAAAACAUAUAUUUUAGCAAUAAAACUACAAUUAGUUAAUGGUGGUAUGAAAUAGUGAUCAAGAUUAGCAAUAAUUUAUUUAGGUUGUAUUCCUAAUUAAUGUUUGUGAACCAUCUCACCACACCUUGUGGUUGUUGUCCUUUAAUCGAAGAAGCACUUAGUGGGCCGAUUCAAGAGAUUUGGGCCACUUCUCAAAUGGUCCAUUCGAACUUAGGUGCAAAGAAAGAUGAAGGAAUACUAAAUCUGAGUCAAGCUAUUGAUAGGUUGAUGCUUAAUUGGUUGAUUGAUUGACAUCCUUCAAGCGUGACUGUUGGUGAA